rnacentral:rRNA from 1 species
GGUGAAGUCGUAACAAGGUAACCGUAGGGGAACCUGCGGUUGGAUCACCUCCUUACCGAAAAC